AUGGACCGAGAUUGCUUUAAUUUGAUCGUACGGAAGAUUAUGUUGGAUGACAUCCAAACGGCACAAAAAAAGCAAUUGAUAGCAAAGCAUUAUCUGGACAUGAAAUUUUGGAUGACUACUGAUUUUGGAAGGCACCUAGAUUACCGUAAAAAGUUAGAUGUGGAGCAACUAGCAAAUUCUGUUCGUAGUUGGUCUGGUAUCAAAUAUAAUGUUUCGACAUGCAAAUCGAUCCAUAUUCCAGUACAAUCCAUGGAUGAAUUCAUUCUAUUCACAUUGGACCAAGAUACCAGAACAAUGUACAUUUUGGACCCUACUCCUAUUAAUCCGAUGUACCGAUACAACCCACUCACAAAAUAUGUGAAAAAAUUAUAUGGAUUUCCGAACACUUACCAAAAGCAAUGUCAAAAGCAUGCCCUGGGUCUAGAUGGAACGAGAAUAUUCUCCUAUGGCAUCAUAAAAUCCUAG
rnacentral:rRNA from 1 species